GUACUGUUUAUGAGUAUCUACAUUAAAAUAAGAACAAUACAGAUAUUAGUAGUAGAGCCCCUAAGCAAGGAAAAUACAAAUUCAUGAAGUUAUCUCUAUUUUU
ensembl:snRNA U6 U6 spliceosomal RNA